rnacentral:rRNA from 1 species
CCUACGGGAGGCAGCAGUGAGGAAUAUUGGUCAAUGGGAGAGAUCCUGAACCAGCCAAGCCGCGUGAGGGAAGACGGCCCUAUGGGUUGUAAACCUCUUUUGUCGGAGAACAAAACCCGGGACGUGUCCCGGACUGCGUGUAUCCGAAGAAAAAGCAUCGGCUAACUCCGUGCCAGCAGCCGCGGUAAUACGGAGGAUGCGAGCGUUAUCCGGAUUUAUUGGGUUUAAAGGGUGCGUAGGCGGUUCGUUAAGUCAGCGGUGAAAUUUCGGGGCUCAACCCUAUUAGUGCAUUUGAACCUGGCAGGCUUGAGUAGAGUAGAGGUACGCGGAAUGCGCGGUGUAGCGGUGAAAUGCAUAGAUAUCGCGAAGAACUCCGAUUGCGAAGGCAGCUUAC